GAGGUUCAAAUGAUGACCAUUUGCAUAGUUCACAUGAUAUUCUGUGAUUAUACAUAUCUUUUAGUCUUUCGCUCCUAUCUGAUGAACUCU